rnacentral:rRNA from 1 species
GUGUCAGCCGCCGCGGUAAUACGUAUGGUGCGAACGUUGUUCGGAAUCACUGGGCAUAAAGAGCACGUAGGCGGUGGAGCAAGUCCAUUGUGAAAUCCCCCGGCUUAACCGGGGAACUGCAGUGGAUACUACUCCGCUCGAGUACAGGAGGGGAGAGUGGAAUUCCUGGUGGAGCGGUGAAAUGCGUAGAUAUCAGGAGGAACGCCGGCGGCGAAAGCGACUCUCUGGCCUGUUUCUGACGCUGAGGUGCGAAAGCUAGGGGAGCAAACGGGAUUAGAAACCCUUGUAGUCC